rnacentral:tRNA from 1 species
GCGCCCGUAGCUCAGUUGGACAGAGCGAUGGACUUCGAAUCCAUAGGCCGCAGGUUCGAGCCCUGCCGGGCGCGCCA